AAUAUUGAAUAAAAAUGGUAAAUUGUAGGUCGGGAAGAAAGCUGUUUAAGUAACUGUGUGGAUAGAUUUGUUGAUACAACUAUGCUAAUAACUAACAGAUUUGCCCAGUUAGCGCAGAAAAUGGCUUCUCAUUGAUUCUGAUGGAGGAUUCCAUAUUGUUCAAAUUAUAGUCGCAUUUGCUUUGUUUGCCUUGCAUUGAAUAUUGUUAGGAGAUGUAUAAAUAAAUUAAGAUUAAAAGUGAU